rnacentral:tRNA from 1 species
CGGAGUGUGGCGCAGCCUGGUAGCGCACUUGCAUGGGGUGCAAGGGGUCGGAGGUUCGAAUCCUUUCACUCCGACCA